rnacentral:rRNA from 1 species
GACGGAGGAUGCAAGCGUUAUCCGGAAUGAUUGGGCGUAAAGCGUCCGCAGGUGGCAGUUCAAGUCUGCUGUCAAAGACCGGGGCUUAACUUCGGAAAGGCAGUGGAAACUGAACAGCUAGAGUUCGGCAGGGGAGACUGGAAUUCCUGGUGUAGCGGUGGAAUGCGCAGAUAUCAGGAGGAACACCGAUGGCGAAGGCAGAUCUCUGGGCCGUAACUGACGGCCUGAGGAGCGAAAGCAUGGGGAGCGAACAGG